CAGCAGCAGCCGCGGGAAUACAGAGGGUGCAAGCGUUAAUCGGAAUUACUGGGCGUAAAGCGCGCGUAGGUGGUUUGUUAAGUUGGAUGUGAAAUCCCCGGGCUCAACCUGGGAACUGCAUCCAAAACUGGCAAGCUAGAGUAUGGUAGAGGGUGGUGGAAUUUCCUGUGUAGCGGUGAAAUGCGUAGAUAUAGGAAGGAACACCAGUGGCGAAGGCGACCACCUGGACUGAUACUGACACUGAGGUGCGAAAGCGUGGGGAGCAAACAGGAUUAGAUACCCCAGUAGUCCCUGUCUCUUAUAC
rnacentral:rRNA from 1 species